rnacentral:rRNA from 1 species
AUUGAACGCUGGCGGCAUGCCUUACACAUGCAAGUCGAACGGCAGCACGGGAGCAAUCCUGGUGGCGAGUGGCGAACGGGUGAGUAAUGUAUCGGAACGUACCAUUGAGUGGGGGAUAACGUAGCGAAAGUUACGCUAAUACCGCAUAUACCCUGAGGGGGAAAGCAGGGGAUCGCAAGACCUUGUGCUCUUUGAGCGGCCGAUAUCAGAUUAGCUAGUUGGUGAGGUAAAGGCUCACCAAGGCGACGAUCUGUAGCGGGUCUGAGAGGAUGAUCCGCCACACUGGAACUGAGACACGGUCCAGACUCCUACGGGAGGCAGCAGUGGGGAAUUUUGGACAAUGGGGGCAACCCUGAUCCAGCCAUGCCGCGUGAGUGAAGAAGGCCUUCGGGUUGUAAAGCUCUUUCGACCGGGAGGGAAUCGCAUCAGUUAAUACCUGGUGUGGAUGACAGUACCGGAAUAAGAAGCACCGGCUAACUACGUGCCAGCCGCCGCCGUAA